AACGAACGCUGGCGGCAUGCCUAACACAUGCCAGUCGAACGAGACCUUCGGGUCUAGUGGCGCACGGGUGCGUAACGCGUGGGAACCUGCCCUUAGGUUCGGAAUAACUCCCCGAAAGGGGUGCUAAUACCGGAUGAUGUCUUCGGACCAAAGAUUUAUCGCCUUUGGAUGGGCCCGCGUUGGAUUCGCUAGUUGGUAGGGUAAAAGCCUACCAAGGCGACGAUCCAUAGCUGGUCUGAGAGGAUGAUCAGCCACACUGGGGCUGAGACACGGCCCAGACUCCUACGGGAGGCAGCAGUGGGGAAUAUUGGACAAUGGGCGAAAGCCUGAUCCAGCAAUGCCGCGUGAGUGAUGAAGGCCUUAGGGUUGUAAAGCUCUUUUACCCGGGAUGAUAAUGACAGUACCGGGAGAAUAAGCUCCGGCUAACUCCGUG
rnacentral:rRNA from 1 species